rnacentral:piRNA from 1 species
UGGUGACAUGGAAGUGGUAUCUAUCCCC